UACGAAGGGGGCUAGCGUUGUUCGGAAUUACUGGGCGUGAAGCGCACGUAGGCGGAUAUUUAAGUCAGGGGUGAAAUCCCAGAGCUCAACUCUGGAACUGCCUUUGAUACUGGGUAUCUAGAGUAUGGAAGAGGUGAGUGGAAUUCCGAGUGUAGAGGUGAAAUUCGUAGAUAUUCGGAGGAACACCAGUGGCGAAGGCGGCUCACUGGUCCAUUACUGACGCUGAGGUGCGAAAGCGUGGGGAGCAAACAGG
rnacentral:rRNA from 1 species